rnacentral:rRNA from 1 species
GACAGAGGGUGCAAACGUUGUUCGGAAUGACUGGGCGUAAAGCGCGUGUAGGCGGCUCGGCAAGUCGGAUGUGAAAGCCCUGGGCUCAACCCAGGAAGUGCACUCGAAACUGCCGAGCUGGAGUCCCGGAGAGGAAGGCGGAAUUCUCGGUGUAGAGGUGAAAUUCGUAGAUAUCGAGAGGAACACCGGUGGCGAAGGCGGCCUUCUGGACGGCGACUGACGCUGAGACGCGAAAGCGUGGGUAGCGAACAGG